CACGUAGGGGGCAAGCGUUGUCCGGAUUUAUUGGGCGUAAAGAGCUCGUAGGCGGUUCGGUAAGUCGGGUGUGAAACCUCCAGGCUCAACCUGGAGACGCCACCCGAUACUGCUGUGACUAGAGUCCGGUAGGGGAGCGUGGAAUUCCUGGUGUAGCGGUGAAAUGCGCAGAUAUCAGGAAGAACACCUAUGGCGAAAGCAGCUCUCUGGGACGGUACUGACGCUGAGACGCGAAAGCGUGGGGGGCGAACAGG
rnacentral:rRNA from 1 species